GAUGAAGAACGCAGCGAAAUGCGAUAAGUAGUGUGAAUUGCAGAAUUCAGUGAAUCAUCGAAUCUUUGAACGCACAUUGCGCCCCUUGGUAUCCCGAGGGGCAUACCUGUUCGAGCGUCAUUUCACCACUCAAGCCUGGCUUGGUGUUGGGCGACGUCCCCUUUGGGGACGCGCCUCGAAACGCUCGGCGGCGUGGCACCGGCUUUAAGCGUAGCAGAAUCUUUCGCUUUGGAAGUCGGGGCCCCGUCUGCCGGAAGACCUACUCGCAAGGUUGACCUCGGAUCAGGCAGGGAUACCCGCUGAACUUAAGCAUAUCAAUAAGCGGAGGA
rnacentral:misc_RNA from 1 species